rnacentral:rRNA from 1 species
GAUCAUGGCUCAGGAUGAACGCUAGCUACAGGCUUAACACAUGCAAGUCGAGGGGCAGCAUGGUCUUAGCUUGCUAAGGCUGAUGGCGACCGGCGCACGGGUGAGUAACACGUAUCCAACCUGCCGUCUACUCUUGGCCAGCCUUCUGAAAGGAAGAUUAAUCCAGGAUGGGAUCAUGAGUUCACAUGUCCGCAUGAUUAAAGGUAUUUCCGGUAGACGAUGGGGUAG